rnacentral:rRNA from 1 species
CAGUAGCCACGGGAAUACGAAGGGUGCAAGCGUUACUCGGAAUUACUGGGCGUAAAGCGUGCGUAGGUGGUGGUUUAAGUCCGUUGUGAAAGCCCUGGGCUCAACCUGGGAAUUGCAGUGGAUACUGGGUCACUAGAGUGUGGUAGAGGAUAGUGGAAUUUCCGGUGUAGCAGUGAAAUGCGUAGAGAUCGGAAGGAACAUCUGUGGCGAAGGCGACUAUCUGGGACAACACUGACGCUGAGGCACGAAAGCGUGGGGAGCAAACAGGAUUAGAUACCCCGGUAGUCCCUGUCUCUUAUAC